ACCCUGGAGUGGCCGGGUCAGGACGCAUAGCCCUCCUCUUGGCGCUGCCUUCGCCCCCCACCUCCGAGUGCCCCCACUUGCCCUGGUCCCGGGGUUCCCAUGUACAGGGGGAUACGAGUUCCUCCUGGGAUCAGCGCUCUGUUCACUGCCCCCUCAAAAAAAAGCCUGGGCUCCUGGUGCGGCUGCACCCGACUCGCAGCAGCGCACCCCUCCUCUUGCUGACGCCCCAGGGCCCGGGAGAGACCGGCGACGGGGAGCGCAGGCGACGCCCGGCGCCGGGAUGCUCCAGCGUGCCUCCGGGUGCGCGGGGUGCGCAGGGGGGCCCCGGCGCCCUGCGCGGUCAGCGGUGGUGGGCAGGGGUGCCUGGCGUGCUCCGGUCGCCCGGCGCCCGCGCUACCUCGGGGAGACCUCUGCCGCCGCCCGAGCGCGCAUCCCGGCCCGGGGGCGCUCCCUGCCGGCCGCCGCGCGCACCAGCCAGGCUGAGCCCCGGCAGCAGAGCUGCGGGCGCCUCUGUCCCCCCACCCCCAGGGCGGGCCAGGCCUCCGGUGCUGCGGCUCCAUCACCCACGCCCUCGGGGCUGAGCUGCCUCACUGCGCAGGCGCGGAGGUGCGCACCUGCUCCUUUGAGACGCUCACCUGUCCUUGUUCUUACCGGCAGGAGGGCCCGCCAUAAAACAUAUCCACCCCGCCGGGGCUCCUCCGAGCCAGACAAAUCGCCCACGCUCUGGGGGAUGAUAACUCUGCCACCAAUCUUCCCUCCUGUCAGCACAAAACUGUUCAAUCAACAGGAGUGUGAGCUGUGUCUUUUGUGAAAUUAGCACAGGAGGAAAUACAACCUGGGCUGGGGACUGGGGCCGUGGGUGCAGGAAGGGGCCAAACCACUGUGGGCGAUGACCUUGAACACACGCCUUGCCUGCCGGCUUCUCGGCCUGAGUCUGGGUCUUAGGAGGGCACAUCCGUGAGACGGCAAGCAUACUGCCCAGGAG
ensembl:lncRNA